rnacentral:piRNA from 1 species
UUCCUAGAACAGAACGCACCUGAAGCGAAGC